rnacentral:misc_RNA from 1 species
AAAGGGGUAAUUAAGGCCUCAAACUUGUAAUGCCAUGACUAUGGAAGUGUCUCACUCUCAUUGGAAAAUUUAUAACAAUCUUUAAGGAAAGCUAAAUCCAGAAUGAAAAAUUGUUACAACUUUUGUUGCCUUUCAAAUGGACAUGUUGGUGGCCUCAAUACUUGGCGGCAACUUGAUCGGUUCUUGUAGCUCUGGAUUCACGGGAAACAUAUAACAUUGAGCAUAUUGUGCCAUUAAUUGGUCCAUGAGAACCAGAGCCACCAUGGCUUCUACCAUAGGCACCGCUCGUGGGACAACACAAGGAUCAUGGCGACCACGGGCAAUUAAUUCUGUCUCCUUCUUAUCUCUAGUCACCGUAUGUUGUUUCCUUCCUAUUGUAGAUGUUGGCUUGAAAGCUAUUCUUAUGUUUAUAGUUUCACCAUUGGAUAUUCCUCCCUGUAUACCACCAGAACGAUUUGUUCUUGUCCUGAUUUUUCCAUGUUCAUCCACGUAAAAU